rnacentral:rRNA from 1 species
UACGAAGGGGCUAGCGUUGCUCGGAAUCACUGGGCGUAAAGGGUGCGUAGGCGGGUCUUUAAGUCAGGGGUGAAAUCCUGGAGCUCAACUCCAGAACUGCCUUUGAUACUGAAGAUCUUGAGUUCGGGAGAGGUGAGUGGAACUGCGAGUGUAGAGGUGAAAUUCGUAGAUAUUCGCAAGAACACCAGUGGCGAAGGCGGCUCACUGGCUCGAUACUGACGCUGAGGAGCGAAAGUGUGGGAGCGAACAGG